rnacentral:rRNA from 1 species
UUGAUCCUGGCUCAGAAUCAACGCUGGCGGCGUGCCUAACACAUGCAAGUCGAACGAGAAAGUGGAGCAAUCCAUGAGUAAAGUGGCGACCGGGUGAGUUACACGUGACCAAUCUACCCUUGAGUGGGGGAUAACCUCGGGAAACCGGGUCUAAUACCGCAUAACAUCCUUGGAACGGAAGUACUGGGGAUCAAAGGAGUAAUUCGCUUAAGGAGGAGGUCGCGGCUGAUUAGCUAGUUGGCGGGGUAAUGGCCCACCAAGGCAAAGAUCGGUAGCCGGCCUGAGAGGGCGCACGGCCAUACUGGAACUGAAACACGGUCCAGACUCCUACGGGAGGCAGCAGUGGGGAUUUUUGCGCAAUGGGGGAAACCCUGACGCAGCAACGCCGCGUGGAGGAUGUAGUCCCUUGGGACGUAAACUCCUUUCGACCCGGACGAUAAUGACGGUACUGGUGGAAGAAGCCCCGGCUAACUUCGUGCCAGCAGCCGCGGUAAUAAGGU